rnacentral:rRNA from 1 species
AGAGUUUGAUCAUGGCUCAGGAUGAACGCUAGCGGCAGGCUUAAUACAUGCAAGUCGUGGGGCAGCACAGGUAGCAAUACUGGGUGGCGACCGGCAAACGGGUGCGGAACACGUACGCAACCUUCCUUUAACUGGAGAAUAGCCCGGGGAAACCCGGAUUAAUACUCCGUAACAUUAUGAAGUGGCAUCACUUUAUAAUUAUAGCUCCGGCGGUUGAAGAUGGGCGUGCGUCUGAUUAGGUAGUUGGCGGGGUAACGGCCCACCAAGCCUACGAUCAGUAACUGGUGUGAGAGCACGACCAGUCACACGGGCACUGAGACACGGGCCCGACUCCUACGGGAGGCAGCAGUAAGGAAUAUUGGUCAAUGGACGCAAGUCUGAACCAGCCAUGCCGCGUGGAGGAUGAAGGUCCUCUGGAUUGUAAACUUCUUUUAUUUGGGAAGAAACCACCGAUUUCUAUUGGUGUUGACGGUACCAGAUGAAUAAGCACCGGCUAACUCCGUGCCAGCAGCCGCGGUAAUACGGAGGGUGCAAGCGUUAUCCGGAUUCACUGGGUUUAAAGGGUGCGUAGGCGGGUUGGUAAGUCCGUGGUGAAAUCUCCAAGCUUAACUUGGAAACUGCCGUGGAUACUAUCAAUCUUGAAUAUAGUGGAGGUGAGCGGAAUAUGUCAUGUAGCGGUGAAAUGCUUAGAUAUGACAUAGAACACCCAUUGCGAAGGCAGCUCGCUACACUAUUAUUGACGCUGAGGCACGAAAGCGUGGGGAUCAAACAGGAUUAGAUACCCCCGUAGUCC